rnacentral:sRNA from 1 species
AGUUCCUUCUGCGUAUUUUCUUAAAAUAAACCGCAGCAAUUAACGGGUUAAACGUCUUUUUCAGAUUAAACUCAGAACCAGAAUUUGCGUUAACUAACAGACAUCAGGAAUUAUCUGAUAAAAAAAUGCCGGCAUUAAGCCGGCACGUUUU